rnacentral:rRNA from 1 species
ACGUAGGGGGCAAGCGUUGUCCGGAUUCACUGGGUGUAAAGGGCGCGCAGGCGGGUUAACAAGUCAGAGGUGAAAUCCUACAGCUUAACUGUAGAACUGCCUUUGAAACUGUUAAUCUUGAGUGCGGAAGAGAGAGGCGGAAUUCCAGGUGUAGCGGUGAAAUGCGUAGAUAUCUGGAAGAACACCAGUUGCGAAGGCGGCAUCCUGGCCCUGUCCUGACGCUGAGGGGCGAAAGCGUGGGGAGCAAACCG